CUUUUAUUUAUUUUGAAUUUCUACAAAAUGAAAAUAGCAUUAUAUUACAUGAAAAGCAAAUCAGCAAACUGACCCCAGCCCUUACAAACAAAAGAAAAACCCAAAAAAAAAAAAAGGGAAAAAAGGGUAAUUCUGUUUCUUGUUCAAUGCGAAUAAGCAUAUACAUAUCCCUACUUGGAACUUGGUUUUUUAUUUAAAAGGAAAAAACCAAGCUAAAGACCCCAAAAAAAAAAAAAGGAUAGCAAAAUAGGUGGGGAUUUCGGAAUUUGCAUAGAAAAGGGACUGCCGACGGUGUCGGUGGAGAGGCUGCGGCGUCGGAGCUGGUGCUGUUACAACAGUGAUCCUUAUGAAUGCAAGGAUUUAUUCCCUAAUAUACUGUACUUGUUCAUAUUUAAUUCAUAUCUAUAUCUGAUAGUCGGCGAAAUUUUGAUUUUAGUUUUAGGUGGAGAAGCGUCUAGAAGAACCAAACAUCUGAUCAAGGAGGAUGACGAUAGCCAUGGCCACCGAUGUGUCCAUUUUCGGCCCUACAAUGAGCCGGAACACGUCGACUCCAAAUGCCACUCCUCCAACCGCCUCUUUCUGUUUAAUCUCCGCGACCUUCCUCCUAUUCUCGUCGUACACCGCGCAGGUCCGUUGCGCGUACGAUCCUUCUAUUUCGUAUACUAUGUUCUUUCCAUUGCUAGAGCUUCUACUACCGGUUGUAACUGAGCUCACGUGAGCCAAACUCUUGCUGUUAAGGAUGUUCACGUGCUUCCUCAUCGAGAAGCGGGGAUUCACCGCCGUUUCUCCGUCGUAAACCAGCCAGUUGUCCGUUAAGCUCAGCCUCUGAUUUAUAAAUAAAUUGUAUAAGAAUUUAAACUUCAAACUCAGGAUGAAUAUUAAUUGAAUUCACAGAUUACUACGAACCUUGCGUCGAAUGGUGAGGAGAGGCUUGCCGCCGGCAUCCAUGAGAAUGAUCUCGCCUUUAGUACCAGAGCCAGCCAUGUAAUUAUCAACUCUAAAAACGAGGUUCCCUUUGGCAUCAAACACAGUAAAGCCAUUGCAGUUGAAAAGCAAAGACUUCUUCCACACAGUUAACACAACAGCAUCAGCUGCCUCUAAUUUAGCAUAUGACUUGAGCGUCGUCUGCUCAGCAGCGACGACUGUGGCGCCGAUGUUAGGGUAUACCUUGGUCAUUUUGGG
rnacentral:misc_RNA from 1 species